ensembl:lncRNA
GAAGAAACGAAGUUCUGGAAGGAUUUCCUUUGGAUCAGAGCGAAUGUUCAGUGUCAGUAAAGACGAAAUAUUCCAUUGCAAUUUGGGCUUUUUCAAACAGAAGUAGACAGAACUCUGAAAUUAAAUUUGUUCCUAAAUGUCAUUUUAAACAAAGACAGAAAUUCUUUAGCUGGGAAAUGUUGAAACAGACAUUUGGAUAGCACCGGUAUAGUUAAUCUUAUUAAAAUAAAAUAAAAUGCAAAUAGACACAUUUUAUUUCUUUUUUUUUUUCCUAUUGAUUUGAUCAAAGCCAAAGGAAAAAAAAGAAAAAAAAAAGCCUAAUUUUGCUGUUUUUGCCAUUUGGCACUGUGUGCUCCAAGCAGAUGAUGGGACCCUCAUGCUGUGCUGGGGGCACCUGGGACAGCUCCACCCCAUUGCAGCCACUUUGGGGAUCACCCAGAGCAUCACCCUGCUGGGUGCAGCAGCUCUUUGUGGGCAUCACAUGGUGUGCUGCUAAAGCAUCCCAAAAAUCCAUCCCCGCUCCCAAAAAAUAUGAAGUGUCUUUUUUGGGGGCAGUUCAUUUUAGCGCAAAAUCGAGUUAGGAGGAAAAAAAAAAUCGUAUCAUGGGCUGGAAACUGUCAGAGCACAAAUUGUGUUCCAGGCUUGCUUGAAAUGGGCAAAAUGGAGUCUGGCUGGCAGCAGCUGGGGCUCCUCCGCCCUGUUAUUUGCUGGGGAUUGUUUCUGAGCUCUUCCUGUGCUGCAGCUGCCCUCCCUCCUGCUGCACGUGUCCCUCUGCGUGGCAGCUCCUUGCCUCCGCUGUGCCCACUGCUGUGCUGUGCAGGUCCCUGCCUGCCCCACUGAGACCUCCCCUUGGCCACUUGGGUCAUCUUCCCCACACAAAGUCCCCGCAUCUCCAACCUUCCUUCUCCAGGCUCCCCAGCUUUGUUAUCUGUCCAGCUACUUGGAAUACCUUUACUCAAAGUAUUUAGCCAAUGCAUUCGACAGCACGGAUGAGAUAUUUCACCCAAAUCUCUAGGAGCUGCCCACCACGGAGCACUUCAAGGAGGUGAAGAAACAUGAGCUCCUAUUCCCAAAUAGCCCCAUAGAGAGGAAAAAACAAAAAGGAGAGGGGUGAGCAUGGGGUCUCCAGUUAGGGAACCCCCAGGGCUCAGCACCCUCCUUCCCAGCAGCAGUAGUGCAGGCAGUGCAGGGCCCUCCUGGCUGCGUUCCCUCGGAGCUCAGCUCUGGCUGCAGUGUGGAGCAUGGCCAGCACCGGCGUGGCAGAGCGUCCAUUCAUCUCUUCAGAUGGAUAAAAGCAGAAAUCAGCGGUGCUUGGACUGGAAUGCCCCGUGGUUGCCUGACAGCAGAAGCCAAGCUCUGAUACGGUCACACAAGCAGCGAGCAGACAAUGAGAAGAUCUAAUUAUAGAGAGGAGGAAAAGCAGCCAUCUAACUGAGCAAGAAUUCUUAUUUCUACCAGCAGGCUUGGAGUGGGAGGCAGAAGGACAAAGGAAACAGGAAAAUGCUGCUCUGGGCUGACUCAUGGCUCACUUGACCCCAAGGAAAAAAUGUCCCUGUCUGCUGGAGUGAGUACACACCGUGAUGACAGGCAGGUGUCACGGCAGCACGCUGUGUCUCCCAGCACCUACCACACUCUGUGCCAGCAGCCCUGGCCAGCUCAGCACUGCGUCGGCCCCCUGUAUGGCAUCAGUCGGUAUUCGGUUCCUUGGAAAGGGUGGGCUAUGUGGGCUGUGAGGGCCCCAUCGUGCCCAUCCCUGCAUGCUGCACCCUAUGGUGCAAGCACUUGCACCCUGUGCCACGGGGUGCAAGUGAUGGGGACAGCCUUGAUGGGAUCAGGCUCAGCAAUCACCUCAGGUUUUCUCCCAGUGCUGUGCAAAUCCUGGGAGCAAAGUGGAGCCCUAGGCUGGCUGCAAAGCCUGCUAUCUCCCUGAGUUAUGCUUUAUUUUUGGCCAAGGACAGUGGUAGUUUGGGUUUGUGCUCAUUGCUCACAAGUACAGGAGUGGGGCUGUGUGUUCAUGGAUUGCUUCAGAGGAGGGGUGGGACCCUUUCGGGGGGAAAUGAAAGGCUCAUGCUUGUCUCCGGGAGCUCAGCAGUUGUCCUCUGUGUGGUGAAAACAUCCUUGUCUCUGAACUAUCGUGGGGCUCCCAUGUUACACCCCCCAGCACUCAGCAUGGGGUGCCCAGGUGCCACAUCACCAUGGGAUGCCUGGCAGUCCCCGGCACUGGCCUGACACAGCCACAGUUUCCUCCAGGAGCUGACAUCCGCACAGCCUUGUGCUGGGGAGCUGCUGCUGCUGCCAGCGCUGAGGAUCGGCUCCAAGAGGAGUGAUGAAGUGGAAGCAGAAACAGCUGGCAUCGGCGCGCGGCGUGUGCACCCUGCCAGCACGGCUGAGUGUCCUGAGCUGUCGGGUCGGAUGGAGAAGUGUCACCUCAGCCUCAUCACGGCCCAUCGGGAUGGAAGGCAGACGGUAGGACAAGAGGUGAAGGCCUUAUGUUGCACCAGAGGGAGGUUCAGGUUGGAUAUUUGGAAGCAUUUCUUAUCCAAAAGAGUUUUGAUGCGGUGGCAUAGCCUGCCCAGGAAGAUGGUGGAAUCACUGACCCUGGAGGUGUUCAAGAACUGGCUUUCCUCAGGAGAGCUGGGAGAGGAUCUGUGGACACCAGUUCCUAAGGAGCCAUGCAGGUUUGGGAUGAGGUGCUGCCGUGUUGGAGAUGGGAUUCCCAGAAGGUAAUAGGGUGCCCUUCAUGACAUGAUGUGACCUUGAUUCUGAAGGAUGACUCUUGACUGGAGGUGACUCCCACAUCAAUACUGUGCUCAGAGUGGGUGUCCCCACACAAGGACAGGAAGGAGGCAGCAGAUCUGGGUCUUCUCCCAAACACGAGGCACUAUAGGUACCAGAGGUACAAAAUCAUGCCCUUGCAUGUUCCUGCUCCAGCUCUGUAUAGUAGAGAUAUCCUCAUCUCUUGGUGUGUCCCAGUGUUGAAUAAGCAUCGAACAUCUUCAGCAGAAGCUACAACAAACCCUUCACCCAGCGGAUGGACAUCAGGUUGGUAACACUCAGGCAUGCCCCCACCUCAGACUCCAUCCUGUGC